rnacentral:rRNA from 1 species
GAUUCUGGCUCGGGAUGAACGCUAGCUACAGGCUUAACACAUGCAAGUCGAGGGGCAGCAUGAGAUUAGCUUGCUAAUCUUGAUGGCGACCGGCGCACGGGUGAGUAACGCGUAUCCAACCUUCCCCCUACUCAGGCAUAGCCCGGUGAAAACCGGAUUAACUCCUGAUAGUUUCACUAGAUGGCAUCUGACGGUGAAUAAAGCUCAGCGGUAAGGGAUGGGGAUGCGUCUGAUUAGCUUGUUGGCGGGUAACGGCCCACCAAGGCGACGAUCAGUAGGGGUUCUGAGAGGAAGGUCCCCCACAUUGGAACUGAGACACGGUCCAAACUCCUACGGGAGGCAGCAGUGAGGAAUAUUGGUCAAUGGGCGCGAGCCUGAACCAGCCAAGUAGCGUGCAGGACGACGGCCCUAUGGGUUAUAAACUGCUUUUGUAUGGGAAUAAAGUCAGGGACGUGUCCCUGUUUGCAUGUACCAUAAGAAUAAGGACCGGCUAAUUCCGUGCCAGCCGCGGC